UAGAAUGCAUUGGUGCAUCCAUAUCAUGGCCCUAUCCAUUCAUCUCGGUAGUCCAUGAGGAUUGAGGAUGCAUGAUGACUCAAGAUUUUAUGCUUCUUAUUUCUUUAAUUGCUUUUAAUUUCUUUGUUAAAUGUUAAGACUUUAUGGUGGAUAAUGUUAUAACUUAUUUAUGGUUAGUGUUUUUGUUAUGAACA